CGGAGGGUGCUAGCGUUAAUCAGAAUUACUGGGCGUAAAGAGCUCGUAGGCGGUUUAUUAAGUUAGAUGUGAAAUCCCUGAGCUUAACUUAGGAACUGCAUUUAAAACUAAUAAACUAGAGUAUCGUAGAGGGAGGUAGAAUUCCAGGUGUAGCGGUGAAAUGCGUAGAUAUCUGGAGGAAUACCUGUGGCGAAAGCGACCUCCUAGACGAAUACUGACGCUGAGGUGCGAAAGCGUGGGUAGCAAACAGGAUU
rnacentral:rRNA from 1 species